ACCACCAAAAUUAACUCAGAAGUAUAGAUAAUUUAGCAUUAAAUAAAUAACGAAACUAAAUCAUUUUUCCACCUUAGUACGGGAGACGGAAAAGGUAAUUUAAGCAAUAGAGAAAGUACCGCAAGGGAAAGCUGAAAGAGUAAUGAAAUAAUUCAUUUAAGCACAAAAAAGCAGAGCUUAACCCUUGUACCUUUUGCAUCAUGAUUUAGCCAGCACUACCCAAGCAAAGUGACCUUUAGUUUGAAACCCCGAAACCAAGUGAGCUACCCCGGGACAGCCUUAAUAGGGCGAACCCGUCUCUGUGGCAAAAGAGUGGGAAGAACCCCGGGUAGAGGUGAUAAACCUACCGAACUUGGUGAUAGCUGGUUGCCUGAGAAAUGAAUAGAAGUUCAGCCUCGUAUCCCUUUAGCCAACCAAGAAAUAUCUAAAUAAGCACAAAAGAGAAAUAUGAGAGUUAGUUGAAGGGGGUACAGCCCCUUUAAUAAAGGACACAACCUUAAAUAGGUGGAUAAGAGUCACAUUUUAUAAAACUAGUUGUUCCAGUGGGCCUAAAAGCAGCCAUCUGAGUAGAAAGCGUUAAAGCUCAAACAACAUGCAGUUUAUUAUACUGAUAAAUAGCCCAACUCCCCUAGAAAUAUUAGGCCAUUCCAUGCCACCAUGGAAGAGACCAUGCUAAAAUGAGUAACAGGAGGAUAUGAUCCUCUCCUAGCACAAGUGUAAACCAGAUCGGACAAACCACUGGAAAUUAACGAGCCCAGAAAAAGAGGGUAAUGUGGCCAACAAAGAAAUCGGGAAAAUACCACAGCGUUUAUAUCGUUAAACCCACACUGGAGUGCCUCCAAGGAAAGACUAAAAGAAAGGGAAGGAACUCGGCAAACACAAGCCUCGCCUGUUUACCAAAAACAUCGCCUCCUGCAAAUCCCUACGUAUAGGAGGUCCAGCCUGCCCGGUGACUACAAGUUUAACGGCCGCGGUAUUUUGACCGUGCAAAGGUAGCGCAAUCACUUGUCUUUUAAAUGAAGACCUGUAUGAAUGGCUAAACGAGGGCUUAGCUGUCUCCCUUUUCAGGUCAGUGAAAUUGAUCUACCCGUGCAG
rnacentral:rRNA from 1 species